GGUGUGGUGUGUACUAGAACUAUGUAAUAUUGCAUGCGGCCAUUAAUGAAGUAUCCGAUCUAGAGAAUAUUUUUUGUUAACCACGUUAUCUAUGUACAGCCUGCCUUCCAACCUACCACUGCCCCGCAAUAAAUCGGCCGCACCAAACUUCAGCCUUAUCUCAUUAUCGGCUUCUGUCCUGUGCAGCUGGCUGCUUGUUCCACACUUGUCUCCAGUAGCUUCUCAUGCCCCUGCUCGCCUCCGGCAAAGAAUCACCGUGGAUCUCGGCGGACUCCCUGAGCUGCGGCUGGUCAAGUACGCCCGGCUGCAAUCAUGUCUGACAUGGCCAGCUGCGAUGGGGAUGAACACCCUGAAGGAGUUCUACCACACCGAGCCGGACAAUCGGGUGGCGGGGUUGAAGGACAGGCGCCACCGGCGCCAACUUCUAGAAUUUCAGUUAAGAGAGCUGUUGAAGUAAUUCAAUCAUUUGAUGAUUACAAGAGGUGGUUGGUAACUGAAAUAGGGUUUGGUGGUAUGCUGAAGCUCCCUGCCAUACUGAAAAUAAACCUUAAAUUCAGUGCAUGGGUAAUGAGUAAAGUCAGUGUUAAGCGCCAUGCUAUUAUACUGUCAGGCACGAAGAUUCUGAAGUUUUGGGCAGAUGAUGUGCACAAGGUUUUCGGAAUCCCAUGCGGUCACCGUAAUGUACGAGGACGUGAUGGUUUUAUAAACCCUGAGGCCAUACAGUACAUAAAAAACACACUUGGGAUGGACAAGACAGGGGCGCACAGUCUCGAGGCAGCAGAGCAAUUCCUUCUCAGGGACAUAAGUGAAUCAUCUAGCAAGCUUGAGAAGGAUUGCUUUCAGAUUGCAUUCGUCAUUUUCGUAAUGGGUCAUGUUUUGGCGCCAACAACCAAACAUGACUAUGGCACGAUAGAAUAUUGGGGUGCACUUGCUGAUACGGAAAGUAUAUCACAGUUCAACUGGUGCGAGUAUGUUCUUGAGUGUCUGAUGGAGGCAGUCCGUCGGCUAAAGAAUGACAUGAUGGCAGGCAACAUGUAUACUAAUUUGGUUGGUUGCCACUUGUGGUAACAGGUUUUUUUCCUCGACAAUGUUGAUUUAGGGAUGUUCAACAAGAAGCAUGAUGUCCUCCCUCGGAUAAGUGACUUUGACAAAGCAACCAUGAAAAAUAUGAUAACUAUGUCAACUGACAUUGGCACCAGCGUCCUGUCAUUUUACAACUGUAAGUUCCGCCGUGACGAUGACGUAUGCUAUACUCGACAGAAGCAUCCAGAAUGCGAUCCUGAAAUCAACAUCCAAGGAGCAGGCGUUGGCAAUGACGACGUAUGUAUUGGUGAUGAUACGGCAGCAGUGGCAAUGGGAGUGAAUGAAUCAUCUUCGUCGGUUGCUCCCAAUCUGGAUGUGCGAACACCUCUUCGCGCCCUUGGGCCAAUUGAUUUUGCGCAGCAUCUACAAAGGCGGUACCCUAGCAUGGCAUCGCAUCUUAUAUCUAUUUUGUUGAGGGAGCAGAAUGCCCGGUGCCAGCGCGAAAUAAAUACAGCCCGUGCUAAUAUCCAGGCUGACAUGAUCAAGUUUGUCGAUAAACUCAUGGAUGCACUCAGCACAAGGAGUGGAGGUGCUGAGGACUCCUGCAGGUCCUAAAAUUUCUGGAGUGAAACUUGAUAUGUCGGCAUGCUCCGAUGGCAACCCCACGGUAAGGAGGAGGCGUGAUGAAUCGACAUCUCACCAGCAGGAAAAGAGGCAGCGGACUGCCGAAUCGACUAUGAUAAUUCUCAGAGAUCAAAUUGAAUGCUUUGUUAAACAUGUGCUGCAACAGAUUUCUGAGUUGUUCAUUGACCUCCCAGAUGAUGGGAGCACCACUGUAUUUGGGGAGAGGACGAAUGGACUCCCAGGACGCAAAUAUGUCUAUAGGCCUGGUUUCCAGACUGACCCCUGGACAAGGGGUGUUGUCCCUUACCCGCCAACGCCAGCGGUUACGGACCUUUUAGUUGAGUUCUUUGCCACGUCAUCAGCUCACCACCUGUCAAGGAACUUUCUUGUUCAUGAGAAACCUCGGUUCAUACGCAUAUCAGGGGUCACAUUGAAAGAACAGCUGGUCGGGGAUGCGGCAAUCGAUCAUGAGCUCAUGUCCAUCAUCAUCUGUCGUUAUACCCAGGUGGACCAGGAAGCUGAUAAGGAAUCACCGUAUCUCUCAUGGAGGCACCCAAUUGAACCUGAGUUCUCGACUUUUGUCUUAUCGGAUUUCGAUUAUCUGCACACAAAGUCGAUUCAGAACCAGCUAUGUGCUAAUGAUCUGAAGUAUGAUAUUACAUCAUCACAGCUGUUCUUCACUCUCGUGCCCAGGCCUGAAGGUUGGAUGGUGGUUUUCUGGGACAUGAUCAAACGGUUCAUCACCGUCAUCGAUCCUUUAUACACCAGGCAAUGCCCACAGCCUCCAACACAGCAGCGAGAUGAGAUAAUUGCCUGGAAGCUUCACUAUGCACUGUUCCACUGCCUUAAUGAAUACUAUGCUGGAUGGCCAACAAGCAAAGGUGGUUGGACUGUGAAGUUCAUGCCAGUCAGUGACAACAUAGUUACUCGAGAUGAAACUGGUGCUUGCAUCAUCCAUAUUGCUCGCCAAUUUGAUGGGGAAAAGCUCAAGUUGCCCAUCACGAAGCACAACAUAGCGAAAGUGAAUCGGGAAGCAGUACACCAGUGCAUGAAGCUCCAGGGCAAAUUAUCAUCACUUGCAGGAGACGCACUUUGGCAUGUCCUCGCUCCAUCAGACUCUCCUUUCGACUCCACUUGAGUUAUGAUCGUCCAAACCCAUGAAUAAAUGUAGCUCUGAUCCUCCACCCCUGAGACGGGACGUACCACCCAGCGAUAUUUGCAUGGAUGCAUCGACGAAGACCCUCCAGAAUUAAGGUUGCAUUGUCUUCGUGCUUGGCCUUCAUCACUUCUUUUGGUGAUGAUGUCUCGCAUGGGUCCAUCACCAGCAAGGUCUUCUCCUCCGUAUCCACCACAUAUAGCGACCAGCUAUUCAUCAUUGGUAUUGGUAACAUCAGUUGCAAGUUGUUAUGGAAACUAGCAAUCAGCGCUCCAUGGGUGCUGAAAUCAUUUUCCCUCUGCUCUGGGAGAACAUAUGGAUCUGAAUCUGGUAGACCGCUAUCAACGAUAGCAUGCACUGGUGUCCUUGGGCUAUCUUCCAAAGCAUCGUUCUGAUUCAUAGCCAUGUCAAUUCCUUCUGUUCGAUGAGCAACAUCUUAAUCAGGUUAGUUUCCCCUAUAAGAAUGAUGUGCCUCGGGAAAUAAUAUGAACGUACAAUGUAUUAUUGCACUUCUUUUUUUACCUGAUGCCACUAUGUGAGCAGUUAUAACUGGGUCGGCUUCAAGUUCAAUGUGAAUAGGGGAUCCAAUUUGUGCUGCUCCAACGGGGACUAGGGGUAAUGUUGUUUCUAAACCAGGGAUAUGGCCUAAUGAUUUUGCACUCCCAACAUUACCUGUCAUGGUCAUCAAUGGAAUUUCAACCGGCGCCACUCCCCGCCCACGUUGCUCUGCAAAAAAAAUAAUUGAUUUGUCCUGUCAAAAGUAUGAAACCUUACUUCAACGGUCAAGUUAUACCAGAUGGUCUAUUACCUUGGUGAUGCAUGAUUCUCAACCGGUUCCUGCCUAUGUGUUCAUACCGACUCUGCAUGUCCUCAUCACUGUCUGAUGACUCAAAGCCAAUACAUGGCUCCAUCACCUGUUUACCAGGGUCAUCUGCUGCAAUUUCCACUAUGCGGCUGCGUUGACGAGCUUCGUAGCCUCCUUCCUCAAUUACCACAGGCGGCAGUCAUGCUACACGUGCCUGAUCUGCAAGGGAGGCAUCUGCGGCAACAAUACUGUUUGUUAGAUCAGAAAGGAGUAAUUUGUAAUUUUCUGAAUUUAGUUCUGAAUUUGGUUUUUACCUAUUGCUGCAACCAACUGUCGAUCAUCUUCUGAAGCAGUGUCGUAGCUUUCAUCGUCUUCACCUGUUGCAUUCAGGUGAUCAGAUGUAAUUCAAAUUCUACUUUUCCUACCACAAAUGACAGAACAUGUCAUAACCAUGCAUACGUACUGAAUUGGAAACCUAUGUGUUGGGGAGGUACCUGAUUCACUCA